rnacentral:rRNA from 1 species
CCUACGGGUGGCAGCAGCGAGGAAUCUUCUACAAUGGGCUAACGCCCGAUAGAGCAACGCCGCGUGGAGGAGGACGGCCUUCGGGUUGUAAACUCCUUUCGGGGGGGAAGAGUAGGACGGUACCCCCAGAAGCAGCCCCGGCUAACUCUGUGCCAGCAGCCGCGGUAAGACAGAGGGGGCAAGCGUUGUCCGGAAUUACUGGGCGUACAGCGCGCGCAGGUGGUCGCGUAUGUGGCGUGUGACAAGUGGACGCUUAACGUCCAGAGGCCACGGUAGACAGCGCGGCUGGAGGCAGGGAGAGGGAUGUGGAAUACCCGGUGGAGCGGUGAAAUGCGUAGAGAUCGGGUGGAACACCAGCGGCGCAGGCGGCAUCCUGGCCCUGAGCUGACACUGAGGCGCGAGAGCGUGGGGAGCGAACUGGAUUAGAUACCCGAGUAGUC